GACGUAGGGCGCGAGCGUUUGUCCGGAAUUAUUGGGCGUAAAGAGCUCGUAGGCGGCUUGUUGCGUCGACUGUGAAACCCGCGGCUCAACCGUGUGGCUUGCAGUCGAUACGGGCAGGCUAGAGUUCGGUAGGGGAGACUGGAAUUCCUGGUGUAGCGGUGAAAUGCGCAGAUAUCAGGAGGAACACCGGUGGCGAAGGCGGGUCUCUGGGCCGAUGACUGACGCUGAGGAGCGAAAGCGUGGGAGCGAACAGG
rnacentral:rRNA from 1 species